GCCGGGUCUUGCUCGCGCUCUCGCGAGAGAGCCGUCAUCUCUCCGGUGCCCGGGAGAGGGGCCGGGCGGGACGGUACAGCAACCGGAGGAACCUUGAUUCCCUGCCCCGCAAGCCCAGCACCGGUUUUGCCGCCUUGUCUCGAAGGGUCAACCAGGCCAUCUCCUGCCUCGGGACGGAGAGCGCCCUGGAAAAGGCGGAGGGGCCGACCUUAGUCACACAAGAGCGAUGGCAAGAUUUUCACCCAAGCCAUCUGACUUGGAACCCAUGGAUUAACCAACUGCCACUGGAGGCAAAUCCAGAGACCAAGGGAGCAGUUUAUACAGAAACAGGUCUGUUAUGGGUGGAAUUAGGUCCCUUCAAAAGAACGUUGAAACCCUAACCCCCAGUACCUCAGAACGUGACCUUAUGUGGGAACAGGGUUAUUGCAAAUGUAAUUAGUUAAGCUGAGGUCAUCCUGGGAUAGAUUAGACCCCUACUCCAGUGUGACUGGCGUCUUUAUAAGAAGACAACCAGGCCGGGCGCAGUGGCUCACACCUGUAAUCCCAGCACUUUGGGAGGCCGAGGCGGGUGGAUCACAAGGUUAGGAGAUCAAUACCAUCCUGGCUAACACGGUGAAACCCUGUCUCUACUAAAAAUACAAAAAACUAGUGCAGCAUGGUGGCAUGUGCCUGUGGUCCCAACUACUUGGAAGGCUGAGGUGGGAGGAUCACCUGAGCAUGAAAGGUUGAGGCUGCAGUGAGCUGUGAUGGUGCCACCACACUCCAGCCUGGGCAAAUUAUGUUUUGGUCGGGCGCGGUGGCUCAUGCCUGUAAUCCCAAUACUUUGGGAGGCCAAGGUGGGCAGAUCGUGAGGUCAGGAGAUCGAGACCAUCCUGGCUAACAUGGUGAAACCCUGUGUCUACUAAAAAUACAGAAAAAUUAGCCGGGCAUGGUGGUGGGCGCCUGUAGUCCCAGCUACUCGGAAGGCUGAGGCAGGAGAAUGGUGUGAACCCAGGAGGCGGAGGUUGCAGUCAGCCGAGAUCGCGCCACUGUACUCCGGCCUGGGUGACAGAGCGAGACUCCAUCUCAAAAAAAAAAAAAACAGAAGACAACCAUGUGAAGGCAGGGAGACACAGAGACAGCACCAUGUGACGACAGAAAAUUGGAUUAAUAUAUCUAUAAGCCAAAGAAUGCCAGAUCGCCAGCAAACCACCAGAAGUAAGGAAGAGGCAAAGAAGGAUUCCCCUACAGGUUUCAGAGAGGGAGCAUGGCCCUGCUGACACCUUGAUUUGGACUUCUUCCCACUAGAACUGUGAUACAAUAAAUUUCUGCUGUCUUAAGCCACUCAGUUUGCAGUAUUUUGUUACAGAGGCCCUAGGAAAUUAACACAGUGCCCUUCUUUCUUGAACCAUGGACAGCAGUUGGUAAAAGGGAACGUGAUGUCAUUCAGAACAUGAUAAAAGAGGGCUGUCCGCUGACUCCCCUCUGAACCUCAGGUGCCCUGGCUUCCCAGGGCAGGAGCCCCAUCCGGGGGCUGUGAUGAAGGGGCCUGCUACCCAGGCACCAUCACCACCACAUACUACUUGGGAAUUUUUUAGCUAGUUAUUUAAGAUCCUGAUUCUGGUUCUGUUUAAUGGGUGGCUGUCAGGAAUAUGGUUGGCCAUAUUU
rnacentral:lncRNA from 10 species